GUCUAUGGCCAUGCCACCCUGAAUGUGCCCGAUCUUGUCUGAUCUCGGAAGCUAAGAGGGUCAGGCCUGGUUAGUACUUGGAUGGGAGACCACCUUGGAAUACUGGGUGCUGUAGGCG
rnacentral:rRNA from 1 species